ensembl:snoRNA
UGGAUCGAUGAUGACCACUGGUGGCGCAUGAGUCCUGUACAAUGAAUACGUGAAACUCUGAGGUCCAA